rnacentral:lncRNA from 1 species
AAUUAUUGAGCUUAUGGAUCACGAAUAUAGGAAAAAUAAUCAAGUGCAUUAUCUCUUACAACCUUUUGAGUUGAGUAAAAAAAAUAUUGAGUCUUCUUUUAAUAGUCCAAAAUAAUCAAAGCAUCAAGCAAAGUUGAUAGUCAUUCAUUCCAAAUUUGAAGGUACUAGGAAAUGGCAUCGUUAGUUGAAUAAAGCAUGAUAAUGAUUUAAGUAAGUACUCAAAAUUUAGGUCGUAGAAAAUGGGGAAGGAAUCCAAAUUGCAACACUUCAAUUUGUCGUUAUGCUAAGAAGAAUUUGUCAAUAAUAGAGAGUAGAGAGGAAAAAGAUUCCAUUAUUUUCUAUUGUAACACACACAAUAGGAUAUUUUUUUACUAUAUAAAUCGAAUAAAGCAUAAUACAAAGAAAGAAGAAAAACCUAGUAUUAGAUAACUAGUUUUAGUGGGAAAAAUAGAUCACAAGUUGUUAUUUAACUUUUCCGUAGGAACUUUAAACAAUAAAUGAAUAGUUAAUCAAUUUAAAACCUAGUACUACUAUUUUGGACUAAACAAUUAGUUUGAAAAUUCCCUCUUUUUAAAAUUAAUUUUUUUUUUAUAAGAUGUGUUGCAAUAUUUCCCUACAACAAGACUGCAUAUUUAAAUUCUCUAUAAAACAAAGGCUGCAUAUAAUUGGUAUAAUAUAAUAAUUAUUGCAUAUAAGGUUGGUUUCAUGGAAGAUGGAGAAGUUAAUGAGUUAGAUGAUUUUUUGAUACAAAAAGAGUUAGGUGAUAAGAAGGUCAAAUGUUAAAUCAUCACUUUGUCAUGUAUUUUUUUUUUAACAAUACCCGUUAAAAAAAUGGUAUGCAAUAAAACAUAUUUCGACUUAAACAAUCAAUAUAACUGAAGUUGCACCCUUUUAUAGAGUCUGCAAACUUUUCUCCUUCUGUUAAAAAAUACGUCUGUUAUAUUUUUUUUAAUAUUAACCAACAAGUUUUUUUUCAUAGUAAUUUCAAACAAGUUCUAAAUUUAAGAAAAAAAAAAUAGAAAAAGAGAGAGUUUGCAUUUAUCUUAUUCAUUCAUGUUGUUUGCUCGACAUCAUGGUAUGGAUCUGGAAUGCAAUAAUAAUUGGCUGUAUUAUAUAAUAAAAUCAUAUGUAUAAGGUUAUGUGGCGUAGGAAGACGCAUGUGGUGGAGUCACUGAAAAUGACUAUAGUUUAUAAAUUUAUUAAACAAUAAUCAUAUAAUUAUUUUUCUUAAUAUGACCCAUUGAAACGUAGCCCAAAUAUAAUGUUUUUCUUAACCCUCGUUCUCUUUAUUUUUUAUUUUAUAUAAUUUUCUUAUCCAUCAUUGUACAUAAUUAAAUAAACAAUGUAAAUGACGUAGCUAAUAGCUAUGUUACCUAGUAAAACAUAAAACAUUAUAAAAUAAAAUGAUGAUAUAACUUUCGUUGGUUUGGUGCCUUCAAACAAGUAAUCACCAUCAUGCCCUCAUCAUAAUCACUUAAAAAAACACAAAAAAAGACCUAAAAAAUUAAAGUGUGCGGCAACACGAUGCAGUGUCGUGUGUAAAAGCAACGAAAUUAACCACAAAUAAUAUUUUCUUAUAGACAAUUAAAAAAUAUUAUAAGGUGGAUUUGGAGUUUUAAUUUUCUUUGGACAAUGACUUUGAAUUAUCAAUUAGUGGAUAAUAACCAUGGUUAGAAUUAUGGUUUAGAUAAUCCAAUAGGG